rnacentral:rRNA from 1 species
AACGCGAAGAACCUUACCUGGGCUUGAACUACUAGAAGUAGAACUGAUGAAAGUCGGGACGACCUGUUAAGUCAGGAACUAGCAGAGGUGCUGCAUGGCUGUCGUCAGCUCGUGUCGUGAGAUGUUGGGUUAAGUCCCGCAACGAGCGCAACCCUUACCUUAUGUUGCUACGUCCGUAAAGGACAGCACUCUUAAGGAACUGCCUCGGACAACGGGGAGGAAGGUGGGGAUGACGUCAAGUCACCAUGGCCUUUAUGUCCAGGGCUACACACGUGCUACAAUGGCCGGUACAGCGAGCAGCAAAUCCGCAAGGAGGAGCAAAUCUCUAAAAGCCGGCCCCAGUUCAGAUUGUGGGCUGCAAUUCGCCCACAUGAAGGUGGAAUCGCUAGUAAUCGGGGAUCAGCUGGCCCCGGUGAAUACGUUCCCGGGCCUUGUACACACCGUAGAGAC